rnacentral:rRNA from 1 species
AAGAACUAAAUAGGAUUCCCUCAGUAAUGGCGAAUGAACAGGGAUCAGCUCAGCAUGGAAAUUGGGGCCCUCGGCCUUGAAUUGUAGUCUCGAGAUGCAUCGCCAAUGGAGGCGCAGAUGUAAGCCUCUUGGAAAAGAGCAUCAACGAGGGUGAGAGUCCCGUUUGUCAUCUGCAGUCCCCCAUGCACGGCGUGCCUUCUAAGAGUCGCGUUCCUCGGAAUUGGAGCGUNAAUUGGGUGGUAAAUUUCAUCUCAAGCUAAAUAUUGGUUCGAGACCGAUAGCAAACAAGUACCAUGAGGGAAAGGUGAAAAGGACUUUGAAAAGAGAGUUAAAAGUGCCUGAAAUUGCUGAAAGGGAAGCGAAUGGAACCAGUGUUGCUUGGCGAGAUUGUCGUACGCAUUCGCGUGUGGUGGUUCUUGCCUUGUGUGUCAACGCCAGUUCGCGAUCGAGGAAAACUCCAGGGACAUGGUAGCCUACCCCUGGGUGGGUGAAUGUGCCUGGUAGAACUCAUUUGCGGACUGUUUCCUUCGUGUCUGGUUGCAGUGCUGCUUGAUCCUGUGUUGGCGCUUGGGGGUGGGAGCUCGCUCCUCACACCCUGCCCUUCUAAGGUUCUCAGCGCUUCCCUGACACAUAGACGAUGACUAAAUGGUUCUAUUCGACCCGUCUUGAAAC